ensembl:rRNA 5S_rRNA 5S ribosomal RNA
GCCGGCAGCCAUAUCACCCUGUAGCCCAAAACUGGUUACCCACUGAAGCUAAGCAGGGUUGAGCCUGGUCAGUACCUGGAUGGGAGACCUCCUGGGAAAACUAUGUUGCUGCUGGAA